AGUUCGUGAGGAAAUAGAAAGUUGCUCGAUUCUGACACCUACUCUGAUAAUAUAAAUUAAGCAAUAUAUAUGAUUAAUAUUAUUUUUGUUUGUCACUC